UAGUACUGGGACUCUAACCAUAGGCCAUGAAUCUGGUCUUGGGACACUGUCAGGUGGGCAGUUUGACUGGGGCGGUCGCCUCCCAAACGGUAACGGAGGCGCUCAAAGGUUCUCUCAGUACGGUCGGCAAUCGUACGUAGAGUGUAAAGGCAAAAGAGAGCUUGAUUGCAAGACAUACAGGUCGAGCAAGGAUGAAAAUCGGACUUAGUGAUCCG
rnacentral:rRNA from 1 species